AAGUACAGGCCUCACAGGAAGUACAGGCCUCACAGGAAGUACAGGCCUUGCAGGAAGUACAGGCCUCGCAGGAAGUACAGGCCUCACAGGAAGUACAGGCCUCGCAGGAAGUACAGGCCUCUCAGGAAGUACAGGCCACACAGGAAGUGUAUUCUAUAUAUCUCCCCACCCUGCCCAUCCUUCCAGACCCACUUUACCUCCUUCUGGGUUGCCAACUUUGGUCAGCUGGCUGGCGUGAGAUAUUCAAUUGGAGACGAGUCUACACGCGCAUUUACAUAUGUCCCUGUAGCACAGCUGUGGGCGGCCUGCUGUUCUCCUGCCUGACGCCAGCUGGCCAUAGAGGAUGUCUUUGGGGAUGCAGCCAUCGUCCAUGAGAAGGAUGUGACCAAGCCAGUGCAGUCUGCAAUGCUUGAGUAGAGCAUACAUGCUGAGUAAACCAGUAUAGAUAAACCACCUCAGUGUUGGUCAUUUUGUCUUCCCAGGAGAUACCCAGCAUACGGCGGAGGCACAAUAGGUGGAAAGUGUUAAGUCAUUUCUGCUGCCUGACUGCCUAUGUUGUCCAGGUCUCACUGCCAUACAGGAGUGUGCCUGUCGCUUGUGGUGGAGCCCAUGUAGACGAAUUGGUGAACAACCUCCAAUUUGCAGGUGUUGGUGAUGAUGACUGUUUUGCCUUCUUGAGGUCCCACUGUGAGGGGGGUUCCCACUGCCACAUCAUCAGCAAACAAGAUAUCUUUGUUGAUAGACUCGCACACUUUGGUCUUGGCUGUAAGGCUGGGUUUGAACAGCCUGCUGUCCGAUCUGAUGUGUAGGAAGAUCUCUUCCUCGAGGAGCGAACGGCGCGCUUCAGGAGCGCAGCAAAGAAGAUGCCGAAUAAUGUUGGAGCAAAGACCAAGCGGUGCUUCAGUCCAGUGUGGAUCUGAAAGGGCCCAGUGGUGCAUCCAUUGUACUGGACUGUAUCGCUCGUGUUGACAUUCUAUCAUACGCUACAGUCUGGGCGGUCAACCUAUCUUGAUGAGGUCCUGGAACAAUCCUUAUCUGCUGACAAAGUCAAAAGCUUUUGUCAGGUGUAUGAAAGCAGGGUUUAGGGGAUUCUUCUGUUCUCUGCACUUCUCCAGGAGUUGUCAGAGGGAAACUAUCGUGUCUGCAGUUGAUCGUCCAGUGUGGAAGCUGCACUGUGAUUCUGGAUAGACAUGCUUGGUCAGAUCCUCAGGUAACAGGUAUACAGAGUAGGUGUUACAUUUUCACAGUUGCCUUCUAAUGGGGAAAAGACUUCAUACAUGUAACAUAUGAUUAGUUGGCGGGUUGAGCGGGUUUCCUUACCAGUUAACUUUGUUUGAAAAGCAUAGUUGCUUUAGCUCCGACUAUGGAGUUCCUCACAGGUAUACGAACAAAAGACACAUUUUGGUCAAAUCAAGUUAAGUAAAGUUUUAGUGUCAUGUCUGCUAUGCACCGUACACAGAAUAAUGAGAGAAAUGUCCCUUCCUGACCCACGGUGCAACAUUCAUGACAGGACAGACGUUACAGUGCUAAGCACAGAGUUUGGGAAUAAUUUACGUAAUGCAAAGGAAGAGGCCUUAUCAAUAAUUUAACAGGAGGAAAUUACAGUUGAACAAUCUUCUUAAUGCGUAAGCUAUUCACCGAAUCACUCACAACCAGUUAACAGGAUAUCAGACGCGCACUGUUACAUAGU